GGCCAUACCAUGCUGAAAACGGCGGUUCUCGUUUGAUCACCGCAGUUAAGUAGCAUAGGACAUGGUCAGUACUUGGAAGGGUGACCACUUCGGAACAUCGAGUGUUGUUG